rnacentral:rRNA from 1 species
UACGUAGGGCGCAAGCGUUGUCCGGAAUUAUUGGGCGUAAAGAGCUCGUAGGCGGCUUGUCACGUCGGGUGUGAAAGCUCGGGGCUUAACCCCGGGUCUGCAUUCGAUACGGGCUGGCUGGAGUGUGGUAGGGGGAGAUCGGAAUUCCUGGUGUAGCGGUGAAAUGCGCAGAUAUCAGGAGGAACACCGGUGGCGAAGGCGGAUCUCUGGGCCAUUACUGACGCUGAGGAGCGAAAGCGUGGGGGAGCGAACAGG